rnacentral:rRNA from 1 species
UACGUAGGGGGCUAGCGUUGUCCGGAAUUACUGGGCGUAAAGCGUGCGCAGGCGGCUUCUCAAGUCAGGGGUGAAAGCCCAGAGCUCAACUCUGGAAUUGCCUUUGAGACUGAGUGGCUUGAGUACGAGAGAGGUGAGUGGAAUUCCCAGUGUAGAGGUGAAAUUCGUAGAUAUUGGGAAGAACACCGGUGGCGAAGGCGGCUCACUGGCUCGUAACUGACGCUCAUGCACGACAGCGUGGGGAUCAAACAGG